GAAACUCAAAAUAAACAGCUGGGUGAGAGCAGCCAGCAAAAUAAACCCACCAGAGCUCUGUGUGGGGCUUUGCUGGAGCAGCUGAUGAGUGCCAGCACAGUGAACAUAUCCCAAGGCCCUGGUGCGAGCAGGAGAGGGCUCAGCUCAACUCCUGGAGAGCAGGUGGAGACUCUGGAGCUCCCUCUCCGUGAGGAGGGAUCACCACACCCUGUCACAGGCAUGACACGGUGCCUCGGCAGGGACGCGGCUGCGCUGAGGAGCCCUCGGAUCUUCCUUUGAAUGGUGAGGGAAUUCAGACGUGGCUUUGAGGGUCUGAAGGGAAAAAGAAAAGAGAGGAAGAAAAAAGGAGAGACAGCAGGUUGGAGGAACGUGCCUGGCUCUUGGAGCACAACGUGGCAAGGCUGGCAGUGCCCCCCAGCUCCGGGAGAAGGCGCGGCUGCCGGAGCCAGCGGGGCUGCGCCGAGCCCCAGCGCUCACCCCAAGGUCUGCAGCAGCUUCCAGCCACUCCUCAUUUCCAGCCACAACAGCCAAGCCCUGAGGGUGAGCAGGGUGGGGAGGAAGGGGGCUCUCAGUACCAGAGCAAGCACAGGAUUUGGCCCUGUGGGGCUGCCCUGUGGGACAGGAGCUCAUCCUGCCUUUGGGCAUGAGGGAUCCCACAGCAUCCCAGCUUCUGCUGCACAGGGAGAUGCUGAAGAACCAACAGAGUCCCAUCCAGCCCUGGAAGACCAGAAGUGCCAGCCCGGGGAGCCUGGAGCACCCUGUGUGCAUCAGUCCCUGCAGGGUAAAUCCAGCAGCCUCCAAGCAGGGGAGCAGUGGAUGGGGACUGUUCCUGGCUGCCACUCUCCUGCUGGAUGGAAACAAACCCUGGUGAAGUCAGCAGGGGGGAGAUGCUGUGAGCCCCCUGUGGGAGGGACAGCAAUGGGACAGCAUGGGAGAGACACGAGGCUGGGACCUGGCGACCUCCUUGUCACUGCAGCAGUGUUUGCCUUCUUGCUCUCCUCACUCUGCUCCUCAUCCCAUCCCAUGGGAGCUGCUCCCCACUCGGGACAGGGGCUGCUCUGCCUCUCCCACCUGUGGCAAGAGCCCCCUGCUCACCUGCCCCUCCCUGGCAGGAACCUUUCUGCCUGGUGCUUGCCAGCCUCCAGGAAUGAGGAGGAGAACAUGCCAGGAUCUCACUGAAAGCACCAACUGUUCUCCUCGCAUGGAAAUGCUGCUGCUCUUUUGAUUUUAAAUGGCUUUAAUGCCGAGUUCAUCUGCUAAUUCCCCUCCUGCCCCUUGUGUAUUGUAUAUUAGGAGAAAUGUUGUUCUGUAUCCUGAGCAGUUUAUUUUAUCGAGUUUAAGAGAAAAUCCCAUACUGAGAUGCUGCAGAUAAAUAUUCAUUGUCACAUCUG